GCCAACACUUCUUCAGCAACUUCGGUGUCUUUGGCAAAGCCACAGGAGUCGGCUCAGACAUUAUCACCCAGACUAGGCGUCAGCAGCUCUGGCAUAGGUGUUGCCAGGCCAUCACACCAGGAGACGUGCCUUCCAUGGAUCGGCCACUGGCAUCUUCCACGCCUGUUGACAGCUGAGCUGUCCCUCGAAGCCUGGGCUACAGCAAAUAAGUAAAGACGCUGUGUUUCUGAGAAUGGAGUCCUCCUUCGUUGGGCUGGGGCUGGCAUAUUUUUCUAAAGGGAAUGGAAAUUUCCAGAACUCGUCAAAUGGGAAUGAGAUGGUCCAGAACCAGAAAGAAAAGACUCAGAAGGUGGAAAACCUUUGAUCUUUGAGAGAUUUGGGAGCAGCGAGGCCUCUGGAUCAUCCGAGGGACACAUCUGAGAUGAGGCACCACCAGGAGAAAAUGUUGAAGCAACGAUUCGAUGGUCUCGUUCCCGUGUCAGACUCACCAAGAGUUGGGAGCCUGUUUCACAAGUGGUGACGUCAUUGUGAUCCUGCUCGUUUCUCUCUCGGAGCAGCUCAUCGCUUUCUGUUUAUAACCUUUAUUUCUGCAUUGCCAUGGUUUUGUCUCUUACUUCCCUGUGGCUUUUGGAAAAGAAAACAAAGAGACAGCAUGCUACGUCAGUUCUUCCUGAGCCAAAACUUUGCUCACACAAUGUUCUUUGAGUAUAUACAACAGCAAACCAAAAUACAACUAAACCUCCCCCCCACCAAAAAGUUUAUGCGGCACCCCUGGAGGCACAGCGAUUCACCUGGGACAUAGAGAUUUCUUUUGUCUCCUUGAAUCCCCUUUCCCCAUUUUCUUAGAAUUAGAUAAGUCACCAAAUCAAAGGUUUGCAAUAGCAGGUCUUUCUUUCACGGACCACAAGUAAAAUGGAUGGAAAGGAGAUAUCCA